GAACGCGGAUUAGCAACAACCAAUAAAGUUUUCUUUAUGGGGGUUGCGGACAUAUCAUAACGAAGAGGUAUCGUAAUUGAAGAGGUUUGGAAAGACCCACCACAGAAGGUAAUAGUCCUGGAUGUUAAACGAGAAGACUUUAGAUAUGAGCCAGAGUACCACGGGACACGUGAAACCCUGUGGGAAGCAGGAGGGACCACCCUCAAAGGCUAAAUACUACCUAGUGACCGAUAGCGUAUAGUACCGUGAGGGAAAGGUGAAAAGAACCCCGGGAGGGGAGUGAAAUAGAACCUGAAACCCUGCACUUACAAGCUGUGGAAGCACAUUUCUUG
rnacentral:rRNA from 1 species